AUUGAACGCUGGCGGAAUGCUUUACACAUGCAAGUCGAGCGGCAGCACGGGGGCAACCCUGGUGGCGAGCGGCGAACGGGUGAGUAAUACAUCGGAACAUGCCCAGUCGUGGGGGAUAACACUUCGAAAGAAGUGCUAAUACCGCAUACGUCCUGAGGGAGAAAGCGGGGGAUCUUCGGACCUCGCGCGAUUGGAGUGGCCGAUGUCAGAUUAGCUAGUUGGUGGGGGAAAGGCCUACCAAGGCAACCAUCUGGAGCUGGACUGCGGGGAUGGACCGCCACCCUGGGACUGAGACACGGCCCAGACGCCUAGGGGAGGCAGCAGUGGGGAAUUUUGGACAAUGGGGGCAACCCUGAUCCAGCCAUUCCGCGUGAGUGAAGAAGGCCUUCGGGUUGUAAAGCUCUUUCGGCAGGAACGAAACGGCGAGCUCUAACAUAGCUUGCUAAUGACGGUACCUGGAGAGGAAGCACCGGCUAACUACGUGCCAGCAGCCGCAGUAACAC
rnacentral:rRNA from 1 species